GACAUUUGAAAAUGAUGACAAAACUAAUCCGAAGUUCAUUGACGAUUACACAAUCAAACUUAAACCAAAAGGAUUCUGAAACAUAUGAUUUCAUAAUCAAUAUUAUGCGAAAGCUAUCAAAAUCUUUAUUAAUUCACGCUUUACUUUUUAACAUCAGAUCAAUGGGGGCAGUUGAGGUUCAGAAGUAAAACCGAUUGGAAAAGACAAGACAUUUCUUGAUUUAGUACCACUUCGUUUGGCUAAAUAAAACAGGAGUUGAGUUGAGAUGCAAUAAAAGAAGAUUACCAAAGAAAGCAAAUAUGAUGUGCUGUUAUGAACUUAGAGAACUCUUCUGGAGUGAAAUUGGAUGGGCAAUCGGUUGAUUCAAAAUAGUGGAGCAUGACGGAUUUCAGAUUGGCUCAUGUUUGGACAUAAUGUCUCAUUCUCAUCCAGCGCCAAAACUUUAUUCAGGAAUCCAUUUAUGGUUCAAAAAGUGCAACACUAUAAAUCAUUGACAAUGAUGGCAUUCAGAAGUAUGUGAAGGUGGAUCUCAGAUUGGUUUGAAUUUAAAGGAGCGUUCACAUCGUGUGUCAUUGAUGUGUGAAAAAUUCAACAUUUAAAAAGAUUUCUUUUCAAUCCCACAAACAAAAGAUCAAUCAGGUCUGUUCAUUCGAUGAGAGUCAAUAGGAUCGAUACACGGAAUUUGGACUUUAUGAAGACAUUAAUCGCGGCAGGAGGAAGUUGAGUUAAUCGUCGAAAAACGGGUGAGUAAACUGACUGUCGGAGCCUGAAAGUCGAAACUGUGAUCAAUUGAAAUACAAUAAAGUUUUGAAUAAAUUGAGAUUUUAUUUAAACAAAAAAACAAAUG